CCUACGGGAGGCAGCAGUGGGGAAUAUUGGACAAUGGGCGCAAGCCUGAUCCAGCAAUACCGCGUGAGUGAUGAAGGUCUUCGGAUUGUAAAGCUCUUUUAGUGGAGAAGAUAAUGACGGUAUCCACAGAAAAAGCACCGGCAAACUUCGUGCCAGCAGCCGCGGUAAUACGAAGGGUGCUAGCGUUGUUCGGAAUCAUUGGGCGUAAAGCGUACGUAGGCGGUUUAGUAAGUCGAUUGUGAAAUACCCGAGCUCAACUUGGGAAUUGCAAUCGAAACUGCUUUGCUAGAGUUUAGUGGGGGAUAGUGGAAUUCCUAGUGUAGGGGUGAAAUCCGUAGAUAUUAGGAGGAACAUCAGUGGCGAAGGCGACUAUCUACGCUAAUACUGACGCUAAGGUACGAAAGCGUGGGGAGCAAACAGGAUUAGAUACCCUGGUAGUCCACGCAGUAAACGAUGAGUGCUAGUUGUCGGGGUCUUAGACUUCGGUGGCGAAGCUAACGCGUUAAGCACUCCGCCGUCGGGUACGUACGGUCGCGAGACUAAACUACAAGAAGUAGACGCGNGAGACGNGCGACGACGACGACGAGGAGAG
rnacentral:rRNA from 1 species